UACAGAGGUCUCAAGCGUUGUUCGGAUUCAUUGGGCGUAAAGGGUGUGUAGGUGGCGCCGUAAGUCGGGUGUGAAAUUUCGGAGCUUAACUCCGAAACUGCAUUCGAUACUGCGGUGCUUGAGGACUGGAGAGGAGACUGGAAUUCAUGGUGUAGCAGUGAAAUGCGCAGAUAUCAGGAGGAACACCUAUGGCGAAGGCAGCUCGCUGGGACGGUACUGACGCUGAGGCGCGAAAGCGUGGGGAGCGAACAGG
rnacentral:rRNA from 1 species